AGGACGAACGCUGGCGGCAUGCCUUACACAUGCAAGUCGAGCGGCAGCNCGGGGGCAACCCUGGCGGCGAGCGGCGAACGGGUGAGUAACAUAUCGGAACGUACCCAGUCGUGGGGGAUAACUAUCCGAAAGGAUAGCUAAUACCGCAUACGUCCUGAGGGAGAAAGCGGGGGGAUCGCAAGACCUCGCGCGAUUGGAGCGGCCGAUAUCGGAUUAGCUAGUUGGUGGGGUAAAGGCUCACCAAGGCGACGAUCCGUAGCGGGUCUGAGAGGACGACCCGCCACACUGGAACUGAGACACGGUCCAGACUCCUACGGGAGGCAGCAGUGGGGAAUUUUGGACAAUGGGGGCAACCCUGAUCCAGCCAUUCCGCGUGAGUGAAGAAGGCCUUCGGGUUGUAAAGCUCUUUCAGCAGGAACGAAACGGUGGUCCCUAAUACGGACUACUAAUGACGGUACCUGAAGAAGAAGCACCGGCUAACUACGUG
rnacentral:rRNA from 1 species